rnacentral:rRNA from 1 species
UACGUAGGGUGCGAGCGUUGUCCGGAAUUAUUGGGCGUAAAGAGCUCGUAGGCGGUGUGUCACGUCGGCCGUGAAAACCUGCAGCUUAACUGUGGGCGUGCGGUCGAUACGGGCAUCACUGGAGUUCGGCAGGGGAGACUGGAAUUCCUGGUGUAGCGGUGAAAUGCGCAGAUAUCAGGAAGAACACCCGUGGCGAAGGCGGCUUUCUGGGACGGUACUGACGCUGAGACGCGAAAGCGUGGGGAGCGAACAGG